GACGAACCGUGCGAACGUUGUUCGGAAUCACUGGGCUUAAAGGGCGCGUAGGCGGGCUGCCAAGUCUGGGGUGAAAUCCCACGGCUCAACCGUGGAACUGCCUUGGAUACUGGCGGCCUCGAGGGAGGUAGGGGCAUGCGGAACUGUGGGUGGAGCGGUGAAAUGCGUUGAUAUCCACAGGAACUCCGGUGGCGAAGGCGGGUCUCUGGGCCGAUACUGACGCUGAGGAGCGAAAGCGUGGGGAGCGAACAGG
rnacentral:rRNA from 1 species